UAUAAAUUCAAUGACAUUUUCAUAAAAUUGAUUUUUCUAUACUUUUUAGCUUGUGCUAUUCAAAGUAGUUGUUGAAAUAAAAUUUGCAGAAAUAAGCCGAAAAGUUUUGAGUCAACAAAAUUGAAAGUCUCAGUCCAUCAGUAAAAAUGGACGCAUCAAAUCAGUUCAACAAUAUCUCGAUCAUCGAUGUCUAUGAAAACUCAGCAGGAUUCAACCAAGAGGCCCGAGCAGGACGGGUUGUUUCAUUGAGGGCGGCCCCUCCAUUUUGGGCAGUUGUUGCGAAUGGAGGAACUUCAAGUGUCUCUUUCCUGUCACAGGCACUUGUGAUUUUGAUAGCAAAAGGACUAGAAGGCGACUACUCUGCCAAGACUUUGAUGUGGGUGCAAGCCACCUUCGAAAGUUUGAAGCGAGUACAUAAUGUGCUCAUGGCGACUCAACGUUACAUACUUGGCGGCGGAACUUUCUAUCAGCUGUCUGACAUCAGCUGUAAAUUGAUGCAGAUGAUCAGUUUCGUGGUCUCGACCGCCCCUGGCUGGAUGGCUGUGCUCGUGUCUCUGGACAGAAUCAUCGCAGUCCAC